UACGUAGGGGCAAGCGUUGGUUCGGAAUUACUGGGCGUAAAGGGCGCGUAGGCGGCACGACAAGUCGGGAGUGAAAGCCCGGGGCUCAACCCCGGAGGGUCUCCUCGAAACUGUCGAGCUAGAGUGCGGAAGAGGCAAUCGGAAUUCCCAGUGUAGCGGUGAAAUGUCGUAGAUAAUUGGGAAGAACACCGGAGGCGAAGGCGGGUUGCUGGGCCGACACUGAC
rnacentral:rRNA from 1 species